AGAAAAUGGGCCCUCCUGGCCGUCGGGACUUGCACUGUUGGUGACUCCGUCUCCUUAGACGGUGGAGCCUGCGUGACCCAGAAAGGCCGCCUCGGGACCCAGACCAGGAUUUCCAUCAGCUCCCCUGGCUCGCAGGCCUUCUGACUUCUGACUCACCAUCGGCUCUCCUGGAUCCAGCUUGCCAAUGGCAGAUCGUGGGACUCCUUGGCCUCUGUAAUCGCAUGAAACAAUGUCCACAGUUGAUUCCAGAUCCUGGCUACUGUGCAUAGUGCUGCAGUCAACAUGGGAGUGCCGAUCUCUCUUCAAUGUACUGAUUUCCUUUUCCUCGGGUAUCUAUCUAACAAGAUGGUGAGCUCCUUAGAGGGAAGUGUUGUACAUAUUUCCUCCAUGCCUCCAGUAUCCAACACAGUGCCUGACGUUGAGAGGGCUCUUAAUAAGUGUUUGUGAAAGACUGAUAGAGCAAUGCCCUAUGAAACAAGAAACUGGAUAACAUUGCUUAGGAUUCAGAGGAGAGAGGAGUGUGGUCUACACUUCACAUGUCUGCCAAGCCUGGCACUGGAUUUGAAGUUCCACACCACUGAGCCAAACACAUCCAGACCCUCUUCCAACCCGGGGAUCUGGUGGUAAGCAAAAUACUAUUCCAGCAAGUGAUGCCCCCAGUCUCCUAAGGA
rnacentral:lncRNA from 1 species